rnacentral:lncRNA from 1 species
ACACAACUGACAUCAGGAUUUUAAAAGGUUUAUUUAUUUAUUUAUGACUGGUAUUUAUAAAGCGCCAACAGAUUCCGCAGCGCUGUAUAAUUAGUGGAGAACGUACAAUAUACACAGACAAAUACAAGAGGUAGAGAGAGCCCUGCCUGUAAGAUGAUAUCUUGUCAUUGGAGCUCUUUUAUACAAAGUGCUUAGCUAGAUGGCCCAUGAGCUUACAAUCUAAAGGAUACAAUGGGGAUUUGAGACAAGAGGUAGCAGGGGACGUUUGGAGGUGAUGGCUGAAAGAGUUAACAGAGAGAAGCAGCAAUUGGUAAAAUACAGAGGGAAUGAAGAGGUAAUUGAGUGAGAAUCUCAAUUACCUAUUAACACAGGCUAGUAGCAAAGUAAAAGAUGAGGAUAAUUACAAGGGAAAAUUCAAAGGAGACGGAGAUGGCCAUCAAAAUAAUAAGGGGAGCUAGAAGAAUAUUGCCAUUUGGAAAUAUGGGCCUCUCAUAUUGGGUAGGAGAGGGAUUGUGACAAUGAGGUGUGACAUGGCUACUGAUGGGAGUUCCAGAGAUUACAAAUAAUACUCAGGGGAGAGGGCCGUUGUAACUGGGACAGAGAACUACAGAUGUGUAUUUAAAUUAAAAUAUAUACAUUUAUUUAGGACAAUCCACCGUGUCUAAGUCCCUUGUCCAGGCCUCCCAACUUAAGUAAGGACUUUCCUUCCAUCCCACUUUUGUGGACACCAGGAAUUUGUUCCCAGAAAGUGUAGCUUAAGUGAAUCAUUGGACUUAUUCUAUCUAUGCUUAAGGCAAUAGGACUACGCAGAGAGUAUUGAAAAAGUUAUUCUUCAUAAUAGUUUAUUGUUCUUUUUCAGUGUUCUGAGCUAGUAAAAAAUAAUCUCCCUGUGCCCAGCACUCCAGACACAUGCUUAUUAUUCUACGUGCAGUGCAGCCUAUAAAGUUAUCUUCAUCAUAAUUGUUAAUUGUUCUUUUUACAUUAGUAAAGUCCCCACCAUGGAAUUUAUUCAUCUCUUUUAAUACAUAUGUAUAGGGCCAUUCAUUAAAGUGCAAAUUAAAAGUGAAUUUGAAAUUUAAGAUCAAAAUAGACAAACUGGAAAAAUUAUCUUCUCUAAGUCAGCUAUGCGUUCACUUAAAGGGACACUAUAGCCACUAGAACAACUACAGCUUAUUUUUUGUUCUAGUGAGUAGAAUCAUUACCUUCAGGCUUUUUGCUGUAAACACUGUCUUUUCAGAGAAAAUGCAGUGUUUACAUUACAGCCUAGUGAUAACUUCACUGGCCACUCCUCAGAUGGCUGUUAGAGAUCCUUCCUGGGUCAUGGCUGCCUAAAAUGCUUCCAAACAUUCAGUAUCUCCUCCCUCUGCAUACAGACACUGAACAUUUCUCAUAGAGGUUCAUUGAUUCCAUUCAUCUCUAUGAGGAGAUGCUGAUUGGCCAGGGCUGUGUUUGAAUCAUGCUGGCUCUGCCACUGAUCUGCCUCCUUGUCAGUCUCAGCCAAUCCUAUGGGGAAGCAUUGUGAUUGGAUCAGGCUAUCACUUCUGAUGAUGUUAGCUGACAGCUUAUUUUUCUGAGGCAAACAGCAUGCAGAGUUACAGCUUCAGGGUCAACUACAGUAAGAUUUUGCUAUAUUUAUGGAAGCAUGAGGGGCCCAGGGAUGCUAGUUGGUGGUUUUAACACUAUAGGGUCAGGGAUACAUGUUUGUGUUCCUGACCCUAUAGUGAUCCUUUAAGCUUAAAACAUGGGUCUUAAAUUUGAAAUUUACUUUUAAUUCUAUCUUUAUCAAAUAAUCCUUAUUGUGUAAUUGAUGUAAACAUGUUUAGGGUUAUUAACUAAAUCGGAAAUGAAGAGAAUUAAAUCAAGCAGUGUUAGAAAAUCCUUCCAUAUGUGCUAUUUUAGCCUUAAAGGACCACUCUAGGCACCCAGACCACUUCAGCUUAAUGAAGUGGUCUGGGUGCCAGGUCCAGCUAGGGUUAACCCAUUUUUUCA